GUUUCAGGGUACUGCAGCGCGGCUAUAGUGCAGUGGAGCGAUUGACAAGGAGCUUGCUCCUUUGACGUUAGGGGUGGAAGGGUGAGUAACACGUGGGUAACCUACCUAUAAGACUGGGAUAACUUCGGGAAACCGGAGCUAAUACCGGAUAAUAUUUCGAACCGCAUGGUUCGAUAGUGAAAGAUGGUUUUGCUAUCACUUAUAGAUGGACCCGCGCCGUAUUAGCUAGUUGGUAAGGUAACGGCUUACCAAGGCGACGAUACGUAGCCGACCUGAGAGGGUGAUCGGCCACACUGGAACUGAGACACGGUCCAGACUCCUACGGGAGGCAGCAGUAGGGAAUCUUCCGCAAUGGGCGAAAGCCUGACGGAGCAACGCCGCGUGAGUGAUGAAGGUCUUCUGAUCGUAAAACUCUGUUAUUAGGGAAGAACAUACGUGUAAGUAACUAUGCACGUCUUGACGGUACCUAAUCAGAAAGCCACGGCUAACUACGUGCCAGCAGCCGCGGUAAUACGUAGGUGGCAAGCGUUAUCCGGAAUUAUUGGGCGUAAAGCGCGCGUAGGCGGUUUUUUAAGUCUGAUGUGAAAGCCCACGGCUCAACCGUGGAGGGUCAUUGGAAACUGGAAAACUUGAGUGCAGAAGAGGAAAGUGGAAUUCCAUGUGUAGCGGUGAAAUGCGCAGAGAUAUGGAGGAACACCAGUGGCGAAGGCGACUUUCUGGUCUGUAACUGACGCUGAUGUGCGAAAGCGUGGGGAUCAAACAGGAUUAGAUACCCUGGUAGUCCACGCCGUAAACGAUGAGUGCUAAGUGUUAGGGGGUUUCCCGCCCCUUAGUGCUGCAGCUAACGCAUUAAGCACUCGCCUGGGGAGUACGACCGCAAGGUUGAUACUCAAAGGAAUUGACGGGGCACCCGCCACAGGCGGUGGGAGGCAUGGUGGUUUAAUUUCGAAGCUAUCCGCGAUGAAUCC
rnacentral:rRNA from 1 species